CCGACUUUAGCUCAGUUGGUAGCAGCAACAGACUGUAGAUCUGUGGGUCCUCGGUUCGACUCCGAGAAGUCGGA
rnacentral:tRNA from 2 species